AGCGAACGCUGGCGGCAGGCCUAACACAUGCAAGUCGAGCGGGCGUAGCAAUACGUCAGCGGCAGACGGGUGAGUAACGCGUGGGAACAUACCUUUUGGUUCGGAACAACACAGGGAAACUUGUGCUAAUACCGGAUAAGCCCUUACGGGGAAAGAUUUAUCGCCGAAAGAUUGGCCCGCGUCUGAUUAGCUAGUUGGUG
rnacentral:rRNA from 1 species